AUAUGCUUUCACAUAAAUAUCAACAUAGCUUCUCUCCAUGAACAACUUUUUAUAGGUAGAUCUGAACAGUGUGGUUUUGUUUUUUAGAUCGGCUACACAUGUGGGUAGUAGUUAUGCAGAUUGGUGUAAUGAUGAACCAUGUUGACCAAUUUUCACUAGCGCAAAAGGUUCUGUGCUAAUUGACAAGGAUCCGUACUUUUCUCUGGUUACCUUGACCAUCUACAUUUCCAUACCAUUUAUUAAUUAUAGUAUAUAGAUCUGAAUGUAUAUGACAUAAGAAUAGUAUCAAUUUUGAGAAGUAUGUGUAUUCAUGUUGGAUUUGCAGAAUUAUGUAUUUAUUUUUUCCGUAAAUACAUUUUAUCUUGCCUUUAACAGCUCAUUUGAUUACUGAAACCCUAAUGUCUGACACUGCCACACAUUAAUCAAUAUUUCAUAUGCUUCAAUUUCUUGUAUUUAAGUUUCAAUAUCUAUUGAGCUAUUGGAAUUAUCUUGAAUAUAGGUAGGUAAUAAUUGUUCAAUGCUUUGUUAGAAGGGAAAACUUUUUUUAGGUGAUUGAUUAAGCACCUGAGCAAUGCUUGCAAGUUGCAAGUAUCAUUGAAGUGCUACCAAGUGGUUUUUCUCACUUGCAUUGUCAGAUAUGUUUAUAAUCCCCUUGGUCCUUUUAACAAACUUCUAUUUUGCUUUUUAAAAAAAUUAUGAUACCUGUUGUAAGAUAAUACUAGAGUAAAACAUCUAAUUGAAGUUCUUAGUUGUAAUUGGUUGAAAAAUUAUUUGAGUUAAAAGUUUAAUUAUAAAAUAUUUUUCUAAUUAGCCACGAUUCAUUACAAAUGAAGUGACACAUGAGACACACUAUAUACUCCCAUUGAAAACACAGAUUUAUUGAAUUAAAUCCCUUACAUUAGUAAAAGCAAGUCAAAUAUAAUAAAAUGGGGAGCACAAGUAAAAAAUCUGAAAAACUAAAUGUCACCACUUUAAUUUGAAAGUACUUGGCUUCCUUGGUUUAUCUGACAUGUGAAGAAAGAGAUUAAAGGAUUUUCAACGGUCAGCCUCGAGAAGAUUCGUUUGCUAUGACUGCAGUUGAAACAGUUAGAUUAAGCUCCUUUGAAUGAAUUUUCCAACUGAUUUCUAAUUUUGUGCUAUUAUAUGUAUUAAUAUUUAAUAGAAUAGCUUGGAAAAACUAGUUUCUUUUUUAUGGUUUCGUUUUUCUUUUCUCAGCUUUUAAACCUGUUGGUAAUCAUAUAUUCUUUCUUUUAACAGUGCAAUUGGUUUAUAAAAGAAAGGGUUCAAAUUGAUCGAAAUGUCCAAAUGGAUCAAAUUGAGAACUUAACAUUGUGAGAGAUUAAAUGGAUUGCGAGUUAUCGAGGUUAAGGACUAAAAUUAAUUGCCAAUUAUCGAAGUUAAGGACUAUAUUAAUU